rnacentral:rRNA from 1 species
GAAUAGGUGAGGGUAACCAAGCCUAUUACGGAGCGGCGAACGGGUGAGUAACACGUGAGCAACCUGCCCCGAAGACCGGGAUAGCCCAGGGAAACUUGGAUUAAUACCGGAUACUCUCGGCGGAUCGCAUGAUCUGUCGAGCAAAUACUUUUGCGCUUCGGGAUGGGCUCGCGGCCUAUCAGCUUGUUGGUGGGGUAACGGCCUACCAAGGCGUCGACGGGUAGCUGGUCUGAGAGGACGAUCAGCCACACUGGGACUGAGACACGGCCCAGACUCCUACGGGAGGCAGCAGCAGGGAAUUUUGCGCAAUGGGCGGAAGCCUGACGCAGCAACGCCGCGUGGGGGAUGAAGGCCUUCGGGUUGUAAACCCCUUUCAGGAGGAACGAAAUUGACGGUACCUUCAGAAGAAGCCCCGGCCAACUACGUGCCAGCAGCCGCGGUAAUACGUAGGGUGCAAGCGUUGUCCGGAAUUAUUGGGCGUAAAGAGCUCGUAGGCGGUUUGUCGCGUCUGCUGUGAAAACCCGAGGCUCAACCUCGGGCCUGCAGUGGGUACGGGCAGACUAGAGUGCGGUAGGGGAGAUUGGAAUUCCUGGUGUAGCGGUGGAAUGCGCAGAUAUCAGGAGGAACACCAAUGGCGAAGGCAGAUCUCUGGGCCGUAACUGACGCUGA